rnacentral:rRNA from 1 species
UACAGAGGUCUCGAGCGUUCAACGGAUUCAUUGAGCUUAAAGCGUACGUAGGCGGGUGUGCAGGCGUCGUGUGAAAGCCCUCGGCUCAACCGAGGAAUUGCACGGCGAACCGCACAUCUUGAGACAAGUAGGGGCGGUCGGAACGAUAGGUGGAGUGGUGAAAUGCGUUGAUAUCUAUCGGAACGCCGAUGGUGAAGACAGGCCGCUGGGCUUGUUCUGACGCUGAGGUACGAAAGCAUGGGUAGCGAACGGG